ensembl:lncRNA
AGAGGCGGUUCCCGAUGCGAUGCCCGAGGCCGAGGCGGUGGUCGAGGCAGAGGCGGUUCCUGAUGCGAUGCACGAGGCCGAGGCGGUGCCCGAGGCGGUGCCCGAUGCCGAGGAGGUGCCCGAGGCCGAGGCGGUGCCCGAUGCCGAGGCGGUGCCCGAUGCCGAGGCGGUGCCCGAUGCCGAGGCGGUGCCCGAGGCGGUGCCCGAUGCCGAGGCGGUGCCCGAUGUUGUUCCAGAGACCGAGGUGGUGCCCGAGUUGCUUCCAGAGACCGAGGCGGUGCCCGAUGCGCAGGCCGAGGUCGUUCCCGAGGCGGUGGCCGAUGCGCAGGCCGAGGUCGUUCCUGAGGUGGUGCCCGAUGCAGAGAUCGUUCCCGAGGCGGUGUCCUUGUCCAAGGCCGUUCCCGAGGCCGUGCCCGAGGCCGUUCCCGAGGCGGGGGCCUUGUCCAAUGUCGUUCCUGAGGCCGUUCCUGAGGUCGUUCCUGAGACCGUUCCCGAGGCGGUGUCCUGGUCCGAUGCCGUUCCUGAGGCCGUUCCUGAGGCCAUUCCAGAGGCGGUGGCCGAUGCUGUUCCGGAGGCCGAUGCGGGGCCCAGGAUGGCUCCGGAGGCGAUACCCGUGUCCAAGGCCGUUCCCGAGGCGGUGCCCUUGUCUGAGGUCGUUCCUGAUGCCGUUCCCAAUGCCGUGACCGGGCCAUCGCCACAGCCUGCUCCUUACUGGCUCCCCGAUUGGCAGGUUCCGUUCGGGCCACUCAAAUGGCGAAUUCCUCCCUGGCCGUCUGCACAACGAGAAUGGACUGAUCCACCGUGGCCACCUGAACUGCCUGGCCCCUCGUGGUCCCCUGAACUUUCGGGUCCACCGUGGCCACCUGAACUGCCUGGUCCCUCGUGGUCCCCUGAACUUUCGGGUCCACCGUGGCCACCUGAACUGCCUGGUCCCUCGUGGUCCCCUGAACUUUCGGGUCCACCAUGGCGCCCUGAUCUGACCGAGCCACCUGGGCUACCAGGGGAGCCAUCGCUGCCGGUCCCAGUUCCCCUACACGGGCCUGGCCCGCCAUCCCUCCCCC